rnacentral:rRNA from 1 species
AGUCGAGCGAAUGGAUUGAGAGCUUGCUCUCAUGAAGUUAGCGGCGGACGGGUGAGUAACACGUGGGUAACCUGCCCAUAAGACUGGGAUAACUCCGGGAAACCGGGGCUAAUACCGGAUAACAUUUUGAACUGCAUGGUUCGAAAUUGAAAGGCGGCUUCGGCUGUCACUUAUGGAUGGACCCGCGUCGCAUUAGCUAGUUGGUGAGGUAACGGCUCACCAAGGCAACGAUGCGUAGCCGACCUGAGAGGGUGAUCGGCCACACUGGGACUGAGACACGGCCCAGACUCCUACGGGAGGCAGCAGUAGGGAAUCUUCCGCAAUGGACGAAAGUCUGACGGAGCAACGCCGCGUGAGUGAUGAAGGCUUUCGGGUCGUAAAACUCUGUUGUUAGGGAAGAACAAGUGCUAGUUGAAUAAGCUGGCACCUUGACGGUACCUAACCAGAAAGCCACGGCUAACUACGUGCCAGCAGCCGCGGUAAUACGUAGGUGGCAAGCGUUAUCCGGAAUUAUUGGGCGUAAAGCGCGCGCAGGUGGUUUCUUAAGUCUGAUGUGAAAGCCCACGGCUCAACCGUGGAGGGUCAUUGGAAACUGGGAGACUUGAGUGCAGAAGAGGAAAGUGGAAUUCCAUGUGUAGCGGUGAAAUGCGUAGAGAUAUGGAGGAACACCAGUGGCGAAGGCGACUUUCUGGUCUGUAACUGACAC